rnacentral:snRNA from 1 species
UGUUCUUAUCAGUUUAAUAUCUGAGAGAUCCUUUAUUUGAGGACUGUAUAUUAAAUUUAUUUUUGAAAUGGGGCUGAAAUAGGAGCUUACUCUGUCCACCCCAUGCAUUGACCUGGUAUUGUAGUGCCUCCAGGACUGGUUU